rnacentral:rRNA from 1 species
AGAAUGGUUGGAAAUCAUUCAUAGAGUGUAAAGGCAUAAGGGAGCUUGACUGCGAGACCUACAAGUCGAGCAGGGUCGAAAGACGGACUUAGUGAUCCGGUGGUUCCGCAUGGAAGGGCCAUCGCUCAACGGAUAAAAGCUACCCCGGGGAUAACAGGCUUAUCUCCCCCAAGAGUUCACAUCGACGGGGAGGUUUGGCACCUCGAUGUCGGCUCAUCGCAUCCUGGGGCUGUAGUCGGUCCCAAGGGUUGGGCUGUUCGCCCAUUAAAGCGGUACGCGAGCUGGGUUCAGAACGUCGUGAGACAGUUCGGUCCCUAUCCGUCGUGGGCGUAGGAAAUUUGAGAGGAGCUGUCCUUAGUACGAGAGGACCGGGAUGGACAUACCUCUGGUGUACCAGUUGUCGUGCCAACGGCAUAGCUGGGUAGCUAUGUGUGGACGGGAUAAGUGCUGAAAGCAUCUAAGCAUGAAGCCCCCCUCAAGAUGAGAUUUCCCAACUUCGGUUAUAAGAUCCCUCAAAGAUGAUGAGGUUAAUAGGUUCGAGGUGGAAGCAUGGUGACAUGUGGAGCUGACGAAUACUAAUCGAUCGAAGACUUAAUCAA